AGUCUUAUAGUCAAAUAAUGAUAUUAGAUUGCAAAUCUAAAGGUAAAUAAUUUUUAAGGCUU
rnacentral:tRNA from 4 species